AGAAGAAAGGCGAUGCUGGGUAAAGAAUGCGAAGAGGAUAAUUUAUAUAAUUAAUCACAGCGCUCUGAUCAAUAGAGCGUCAGAGGCCAUUUUCGAUACUGAGUAGAAUGACUUCUCAGAUGUAAUGGACUGCUUGGAAAUCUAUCCUUCUGACUUAGUCCAUAAAGAAGCAGCCAGAACCACGGAGCUGGGGCAGGAGAGGGUGUCAGAGUUGAGAAAUAUUACUUUUGUGGAUCAAUGUGAAAUGAGGCUCUACGUGGUAGGAUAAAAGAAUGAUGUUUUUUGCUGUUAAUUGAAGCAUAUUGCAUAAGA
rnacentral:lncRNA from 1 species